GACGAACGCUGGCGGCGUGCUUAACACAUGCAAGUCGAACGGUGAAGCUCCAGCUUGCUGGAGUGGAUCAGUGGCGAAUGGGUGAGUAACACGUGAGCAACCUGCCCCUGACUCUGGAAUAAGCGCUGGAAACGGCGUCUAAUACUGGAUACGAGAAGGGUCCGCAUGGGCACUUUCUGGAAAGUUUUUCGGUUGGGGAUGGGCUCGCGGCCUAUCAGCUUGUUGGUGAGGUAAUGGCUCACCAAGGCGACGACGGGUAGCCGGCCUGAGAGGGCGACCGGCCACACUGGGACUGAGACACGGCCCAGACUCCUACGGGAGGCAGCAGUGGGGAAUAUUGCACAAUGGGCGAAAGCCUGAUGCAGCGACGCCGCGUGAGGGAUGACGGCCUUCGGGUUGUAAACCUCUUUCAGCAGGGAAGAAGCGAAAGUGACGGUACCUGCAGAAGAAGCACCGGCUAACUACGU
rnacentral:rRNA from 1 species